CUUCAGGGCCACUCCGCCCCCUCCAGAACCAGUCUCGGGGCUGGCCUCCGGCUCGCUCCCACCUGGGUGGUUCUUUUCAGUGUUGUUUCGGUGCCUGGCUCCUUUUUCCAUGUUUCUCAGUAGGAUUUCAACCUCCGAAAGGUAUCUCUCUUUCUAAUGCAUAUGGGUGUAAAUAUAUUUAGAGAGAAAGCCUUUCAAAUGGAGAUGUCCUUUUCCGUGAUGUGAUAAGGACCACUCCUACCCUCUUUAAAAAAAAAAAAAAAAAAAAAAAGACCCAGGCAGAUAAAAGAGAAAAAUGAAAAUAUUCCUACUCUGCCUUGACACUUUCUUGUCACUCGUGCUUACAAACAAGGACCUGGGUCAAAAAGGAUCUGAUUUCAAUUAAAGCCAGCUUUCUUCUUAGAAUUCCAGCGACCACUGCCUAUAGUCAAACAGUGGCUUCCUGAGCUAGUGGUUCUAAGAGACUUUAUUUCAUUAAAAAUGCAAAGCAGAUGAAAAUUAGUGAGCAAAGAAGAAGGAAGUAAGGAAGAAAAGGCCAAAACAGGUAUCUGAAACUUAAAAAGCCCAGUGCCGGGCUUCCCUGGUGGCGCAGUGGUUGAGAGUCUGCCUGCCGAUGCAGGGGACACGGGUUUGAGCCCUGGUCUGGGAAGAUGCCACAUGCCGCGGAGCAACUAGGCCUGUGAGCCACAACUACUGAGCCUGCGCUUCUGGAGUCUGUGCUCCGCAACAAGAGAGGCCACGAUAAUGAGAGGCCCGCGCACCACGAUGAAGAGUGGCCCCCGCUUGCCGCAACUGGAGAAAGCCCUCGCACAGAAACGAAGA